GACGAACGCUGGCGGCGUGCUUAACACAUGCAAGUCGAACGGAAAGGCCCUGCUUUUGUGGGGUGCUCGAUUGGCGAACGGGUGAGUAACACGUGAGUAACCUGCCCUUGACUUUGUGAUAACUUCAGGAAACUGGGGCUAAUACCGGAUAGGAGCUCCUGCUGCAUGGUGGGGGUUGGAAAGUUUCGGCGGUUGGGGAUGGACUCGCGGCUUAUCAGCUUGUUUGUGGGGUAGUGGCGUUCCAAGGCUUUGACGGGUAGCCGGCCUGGGAGGGUGACCGGCCACAUUGGGCCUGAGAUACGGCCCAGAAUGCAACGGGAGGCAGCAGUGGGGAAUAUUGCACAAUGGGCGGAAGCGUGAUGUAGCAACGCCGCGUGCGGGAUGACGGCUUUCGGGUUGUAAACCGAUUUCGCCUGUGACGAAGCGUGAGUGACGGUAAUGGGUAAAGAAGCACCGGCUAACUACGUG
rnacentral:rRNA from 1 species